rnacentral:rRNA from 1 species
AAAGCUGUCGCUAAAGGAUGGACCCGCGGUGCAUUAGCUAGUUGGUAAGGUAAUGGCUUACCAAGGCGACGAUGCAUAGCCGAGUUGAGAGACUGAUCGGCCACAUUGGGACUGAGACACGGCCCAAACUCCUACGGGAGGCAGCAGUAGGGAAUCUUCCACAAUGGGCGAAAGCCUGAUGGAGCAACGCCGCGUGAGUGAAGAAGGUUUUCGGAUCGUAAAGCUCUGUUGUUGGUGAAGAAGGAUAGAGGUAGUAACUGGCCCCUAUUUGACGGUAAUCAACCAGAAAGUCACGGCUAACUACGUGCCAGCAGCCGCGGUAAUACGUAGGUGGCAAGCGUUGUCCGGAUUUAUUGGGCGUAAAGCGAGCGCAGGCGGAAAGAUAAGUCUGAUGUGAAAGCCCCCGGCUUAACCGAGGAAUUGCAUCGGAAACUGUGUUUCUUGAGUGCAGAAGAGGAGAGUGGAACUCCAUGUGUAGCGGUGGAAUGCGUAGAUAUAUGGAAGAACACCAGUGGCGAAGGCGGCUCUCUGGUCUGUAACUGACGCUGAGGCUCGAAAGCAUGGGUAGCGAACAGGAUUAGAUACCCUGGUAGUCCAUGCCGUAAACGAUGAGUGCUAAGUGUUGGGAGGUUUCCGCCUCUCA